GCUACUGAGAUCUGCCCCUACCUUGGGAGCAACCCCAUGGGAGAAAAGGGAGCUCCACCGGGAAAUGGGAAAUGUUCUGCUUUUCCUUUGUAUUCCACAUGUCACAAGGCAGACCAGACUUCUGUGAUAGGCAUGGUGGGAAUCAGGAGGGAUGACAAAGGUGCUUGGUUCAGCUGUGACAAUAUAAAGUGAAAGGACGCCAAAACUUUGGGUGAAGAAGCCAGAGAUGCCUGAACCUGGGGGUAAAACUCUCAGAAGAGAAUGUUAUCUUGUGAUCUCAAUAAUGAAAUGGAAAAAGAGCUGCUUUCAUGUGACAGCUGGUAAAGAUUUUUGUUUAGAAUAAGGAAAAUUCUGUUCUGCUCAAAGGGUCUGCCACUUUCUCAGGAUAUGGGGGUUGCAGAAUAAGAAAACUUUCCUGUGAAUGGGAAGGAAAAGAAACUGCUGCUAGGCAGCUCACCUAGCCCUGGUACUGUUUGUUUAAAGGCUGACAGUUCACCUGGCCAGAGGUUUUAAUCCACUUUUACAACAGCAUUUCAGGACAAACUGAUUCAGGAUCCUGGGUGGGAAUUUGGAGAAAGGAAAGAAGCAGUGAUCCUGUAUUUGCUGGCUUUGU